ensembl:lncRNA PDE11A-AS1 PDE11A antisense RNA 1
GCUGAUUUCUCAACCUCUCUGUCGUGAGUUGACUCGUGUACUCCCAAAAGCUAUGUUGAAGUUCUAACCCCGGUACCUGUGAAUGUGGCCAUGUUUGGAAAUAGGGUCUUUGCAGAUGUUAGUUAUCAAGGUAAGGUGAGAUCAUAUUGGAUUAGAAUGGGCCCUAAAUCCAAUGGUUUGUGUCUUUAUAAGAAGGUCAUGUGAAAACACAGACACAAAAGAACGUUAUGUGAAGGCAGAGGCAGAGGAUGUCAAGAACUGCUAGCAGCCAUCAGCAACGAGGAGAGAUGCAUGGAACGGACUCUCCCUCAGAGCCUUCACAAGGAACCACCCCUGCUGACACCUGAAUUCUAGCUUCUAGAACUGUUUUCUUAGUGUGAAAUAUGAACUCAUGAGCAUCUGGCCUGGGAACUGGACCAGUUUUAAAUCUCGUGUUGAGAGCCGGAAGAUGCUGGAGAAGGAAUGUGGUGGAAUGACUGCCUGAGAAUGAACCAUUCUCCAGUGAGAGGGGGCUUCGAUAUUGAAAGGGCAAUUUGGCCUUAACUUGGAAAUGCUGGAGAUUGAUUGCAUACAAUCUGUCCUGCUAGUGAGAGAAGCAAGGACUGCAUCUAAGUGCAACAUGAAGACUUUUGGUCCCAAGCUUUCCUCCAACUUCAGUGGGAGGCAGCCCAAAACCACCGUCGGUUCAAGAAUACAAGUGACCUGCAAUUCUUGGAAAGACUCCCCCAAUUCUUCUCCCAAUAUGUGGUCAGCUUUUCCAGCAGGAUUAGGUUCGGUAGGAAUUAUUGAAUAUAAUAUAAUAUAAUGUAAAAUAUCGGAAUUAUUUUUCUUAGGUGCUUAGUAAGGAGGGUAUUAGAUUUUAAUCAUAUAUGUGUUAUUUCUUUAAAUCUUGCCUUAAUUUAUAUUAUUUAAUAAGUGAAGAUUUGCUAGGCGAAUCUUAGUGAUAAAUUAAUACUUAAUGUUAGUUACUAUUUGUCUUACAUAGAGUUCAUUUCUAUGAAGACACGUGUUUCAAAACGUAUACUAUAUGCCUUUGUCUUGGCUGUUGAAAUUCUGUGAUGCUUUAUAUGCAUAUCACAUCCUAGAGCCUGGCAUAGAGUAAGUGCUUUAAAAAAUAUUGGUUGCUUGUCUAAUAAGCUUACAGUAGUUACUAUGUCGAGAGAUUACAGUUCAAGUUGGGAGGUUGAUAAUAAGUGUGUUAGCAUAUUUUAUAAUACUAAUAUUAUUAUUAAUAAAGCUACCAUUAGUAUCUACCAUGCGGUAGUCUAUAUAUUAACAACUUAAUACAUUAUAGCAUUUAGUCCUGACAAUGACCAUGAUAUAAGUAUUAUUUUCUCAUUUACACAUGAGGAAAACAGGGCUCAGAGAAGUUAAGUAACUUUUCCAAGGUCACACAGCUAGCUUGUACCAGUUCCAGAUUUGAAUCCAAGUUUUUAAGCUUCUUGUUACAUAAUGAAAAUGAUAAUUAUAACAUACAUUUCUGACAUUUGAUUCUCCAUUUUUACU